GAUGAAGAACGCAGCGAAAUGCGAUAAGUAAUGUGAAUUGCAGAUUUCAGUGAAUCAUCGAGUCUUUGAACGCACAUUGCGCCCCCUGGUAUUCCGGGGGGCAUGCCUGUCCGAGCGUCAUUGCUGCCCUCAAGCACGGCUUGUGUGUUGGGCCUCCGUCCUCCUCCCGGGGGACGGGCCCGGAAGGCAGCGGCGGCACCGCGUCCGGUCCUCGAGCGUAUGGGGCUUCGUCACCCGCUCUUGUAGGCCCGGCCGGCGCUUGCCGACACAUCAAUCUUUUUUCCAGGUUGACCUCGGAUCAGGUAGGGAUACCCGCUGAACUUAAGCAUAUCAAUAAGCGGAGGA
rnacentral:misc_RNA from 1 species